rnacentral:rRNA from 1 species
CGAGAUUCCCCCAGUAGCGGCGAGCGAACGGGGAGCAGCCCAGAGCCUGAAUCAGUGUGUGUAUUAGUGGAAGCGUCUGGAAAGGCGUGCGAUACAGGGUGACAGCCCCGUACACAAAAAUGCACAUAUUGUGAGCUCGAUGAGUAGGGCGGGACACGUGGUAUCCUGUCUGAAUAUGGGGGGACCAUCCUCCAAGGCUAAAUACUCCUGACUGACCGAUAGUGAACCAGUACCGUGAGGGAAAGGCGAAAAGAAC